AAAUAUACAAGGGAAUCAGAGUUAUACGUUGUGACUUUAAUUUCUGCAUUUAUUUAGAAAGCUUCAACGAGACGAAGUGGAUUAGAAGAACAGCGAUCAAUGCAUUUUCCAAAUCCCAAUUGGCCGCUUUACCCCUGUGACUCUGAGUUCAAGAUAAGAUAUGGUGGCUGCUUCUUCGGCUGUCCUAUUCCAUCCUUUGGGCAUAAAUAUCUGGGAAGGAAUCUCACUUAGCUACUGUCGAUUGUUUGUUUGUCUUCUUGUCACGUUAGCACCUGGCUUCUAUUCCUAUUUCUAGCAUUGUCGCAGGCCUCUCAGGACUCUCAGAGCAGAUUGAGAGUUCUUGAACUGGAUAUAGAAAACGAACGCCCAGAAAAUGGUGGUGGGGAGGAAAAUUCCAUAUCUUUCCCUUUCUCAGUUAUUAGUUGCAGUGUUAGCCUUUUCUUACUUGAUAGUGGCACUGGGUGCUCAAAAACAGUUGCGUUUUGGUCAAAAUGGAAAGUUCAAGAUACUGCAAGUGGCGGAUAUGCACUUCGCGGAUGGAAAGACCACGCCUUGUUUGGAUGUGUUCCCCAGUCAGAUGCAUACUUGCUCUGAUAUCAACACAACUGCCUUUAUCGAGCGCAUGAUUCGAGCUGAGAAGCCCGAUUUAAUCGUUUUCACUGGGGAUAACAUCGUUGGAUUUGAUGCCACGGACGCGGCCAAAUCUCUGAGUGCUGCAUUUGCACCUGCAAUUUCGUCGAACAUCCCAUGGGUGGCUGUUUUGGGGAACCAUGAUCAAGAAUCGACGUUGUCAAGGGAAGGGGUCAUGAAGCAUAUUGUUGGCCUUCAGAACACUCUUUCUCAACUCAAUCCUGCUGAGGCACACGUUAUUGAUGGUUUUGGAAACUAUAACCUUGAGAUAGGUGGAGUUGAGAAUUCAAGAUUUCAAAACAAAUCAGUUCUCAAUCUCUACUUCCUUGAUAGCGGAGACUACUCCACGGUUCCAUCAAUUACUGGCUAUGGUUGGAUCAAACCCUCUCAGCAGUUUUGGUUUCAACGCACUUCUGCAAACCUCCGGAGAGCAUACGCGAGCAAGCCAGAGCCUCAGAAAGGACCUGCACCAGGGCUUGUGUAUUUUCACAUCCCAUUGCCUGAAUUUGCAAGUUUUGAUUCAUCCAACUUCACAGGGGUGAAACAGGAAGGCAUUAGCUCUGCGUCUGUGAAUUCCGGUUUCUUCACGACCAUGGUGGAGGCAGGGGAUGUGAAGGCUGUUUUCACAGGACAUGAUCAUCUGAAUGACUUCUGUGGUGAGCUAACUGGUAUACAACUUUGUUAUGCUGGGGGCUUUGGAUACCAUGCCUAUGGGAAGGCUGGAUGGUCAAGGAGGGCCAGGGUGGUGGUAGCAUCUUUGGAGAAGUCAGAGAAGGGAGAUUGGGAAGCUGUUAAGUCAAUCAAAACAUGGAAACGCCUUGAUGAUCAACUCCUCACUGCUAUAGAUGGUCAAGCCCUCUGGAGCAAGAGCCCUGCAGGUAAACUCAUUUCUGUUUAAAAACCUUGGAUUGUCUUCUUUACAUGCAAGAAUUAUACUGUAUUAGACAUACAAUGGAUAUCAUCCAGUGAAGAUAUCCAUAUAGAGCAAAUCGCAUGAAAUUUUGUCUAUUAGGUUAUGCCAACAAACUGCUUCAUAUUAUGAUAGAAAUCUUCUUUCUUUUAUUGUUGGAAUAUUGAUGCUUUAUAUGUGUUUGCAUAUGUGCUGACAAUGAAUUGAAAAUUGGACUUCAGAUUGAUGAAUUACAUACUUGUUAACUUCUGUGCAUCAAAAAGAUUUUUUGCAGCCAUGCAGGCCACAUGCCUGUUAUCAAUGGAUAUUAUGUUUCAUUAUUUCAUACUUCAAUACACCAUGUGGUUGAACAUCCAUGACAAAUAACUCACAUGCCUUAUGAUGUUGAGCAUUUAGCACAUGAUCAGACAAUCAGCUAAAUUGAAAUUUACAGGCUACAAAGACGUGUGCACGUUGUCUAAACCAUCAUCUGCUAUAGUGAAACUAAAGCCAGAUGAUUCAUCAUAGAACAAAAAUAGAGAAAAUAAGGUUUUCUUUUAAUGCAAUGACUCCUGCUAAUUGUCUGAGCCAUUGUCUUAAGAUAUGAGGUAGAAAAUAUUUUAAUUUUUCUUUUGAUAGUUAAAAAUAACAAAACAGGGAAAUAAAUAUAUGGUUUUAAUUUCAUAAUAGCAGACAAUGCUUCAGCCUAUAGUUCUUUGUGGAACAAACAAUGGAGAAAAUAAGAUAUUGGAACUCGGAAGUGUACAGGGUGUUUAGACUUUAGACUCUCCCUCUGCUUUUAUGCUGGAAAAGAACUUGUGAUUUUUCUAUCAGCCCUUUCACUAAAUCAUAAAAUUAAAAUAGUCAUAUCCCUGUAACAAGGUUCUCCUAUCUCUCAUUUCUUGACAAGUGAGGCACCUUAUUACUGGUCUCAGUUCCUUUCUCUUUUGUGUGAUAUAAUCAAGGACCAAGGUCAAAGAUCGGUGCCUGUUUAAGUAAGAUUUUUGAUACACUAUUGUGCUGUUUUCUUGUACAUUUAUCCAUUUACAUUUAUAAACUUUUCAUUUGCAUUGAGCAGGAGGGCGUAGAAAGAAACAUGUUGUUGGUGCUUGAGUAAUGGAGCAUGAGAGAAACCAAGAAGUACUCGACUGGAGGUAGUAUGUUUUGAAUCUAGUUAGUCAUGAAUGUUCUGCAUGUUAUAAGGCCCUUUGCAGAUUGAGACAUGUUGCAAUGAAGUCGGUCAAAACAGGGAAAGUAAAUUGCUGGACAAUAAAUGGAUAUAUUUGUCUACAGACAGAUCAAAGAUUUGAUGAAUAAAAUGCUAUGCAGUUAUUUGUGGGCAAUGAUCAGUAAGUACUAAGCAGAUGCAGAGUUUUAGAAAGAUUGAAAUUGCCUUUUGAUGAAUGAGUAUCGGCACCUAAAAUUUAGGUCACCUAAAAUUUAUGUUUCUUGAGCUGAUUUGUUUGAUCAUAUACAUGCUAUUGCUAAGCCUGCCCUGAAUUCUGGAAUCAACUUGUGUAAAUAAGGUAAUUAAAAUGUUACAAUCAGAUAACUUGCAAGACAAAAAUUGUGCGGUUGUAGAAAGGCUGCUUGCGUGCAUUUCAUAAAAGCGGCCAUAGAUAACAAAUAGACGAGUAAUUGGACUUUUUGAUCUGCUCAUCUUGCCGCCUCUGAAUCAGAAUAUUAGCUAAAGAUUGCUGGAGACGAGUUCACGUUCCUUGACUGUAUCAUGUCUUCCUCUAUAUAUUCACCCACCAUCCAGAAAUCCAACCUCACAAUUUCUUUCUACCUUUCCAAAGAAUUAAUCUUUCUUCCUUUAUCAUGGCCUCAUUCAAGAAGAUGGUAGCCCCCUUAUGCAUGAUGAUCCUCAUAUUCUGUGUUUGGCUGUCAAUGGUACAAUCUGAAGGUGUUAAUCUUUGCCCAGGAGCAACUCCAGCUCCAGAAGAAUGCCCCAUUGCUUGCUUCCGUCCUGACCCAGUUUGUGGGGCAAACGGAGUCACCUACUGGUGCGGUUGCCCUGAUGCUUUGUGCGCUGGUGUUCCUGUGGUUAAGUUUGGAGAGUGCUAAACUCCUGGGCCUAGGCACUUCUGUUGACCCAUCUAUACAUAUUUUGUGAAGUCUGAAUCAUCAUCAUGAUGAUCAUCCUGCUGCUCAAUCGUCUCUUUUAGUGUCUG
rnacentral:misc_RNA from 1 species